rnacentral:misc_RNA from 1 species
AACGCACCUUGCGCUCCUCAGUAUUCUGAGGAGCAUGCCUGUUUGAGUGUCAGUAAAUUCUCAACCCUUCCAAUUCUGUGUUGGACUUUGGGCUUGGAUGUGGAGGUAAUGCCGGCCUAUUACAGGUUGACUCCUCUAAAAUAUAUUAGCAGAACUGUUUGUGAUCUGAGGUGUGAUAAUUAUCUACAUCACUAGGUUACUCUCUAUUGUUCAGCUGCUAAUUGUCUGCAAAGACAACUGAAAAACUGAUUAUUUGACCUCAAAUCAGGUAGGACUACCCGCUGAACUUAA